rnacentral:rRNA from 1 species
UCAAAUGAAUUGACGGGGCCCGCACAAGCGGAGGAACAUGUGGUUUAAUUCGAUGAUACGCGAGGAACCUUACCUGGGCUUAAAUGGGAGUGACAGCUGUCGAAAGAUGGUUUUCUUCGGACACUCUUCAAGGUGCUGCAUGGUUGUCGUCAGCUCGUGCCGUGAGGUGUCGGGUUAAGUCCCAUAACGAGCGCAACCCUUACCGUUAGUUACCAUCAGGUUAAGCUGGGGACUCUAGCGGGACUGCCACCGUAAGGUGAGAGGAAGGUGGGGAUGACGUCAAAUCAGCACGGCCCUUAUGUCCUGGGCUACACACGUGCUACAAUGGGCGGUACAAAGGGUCGCGAACCCGCGAGGGGGAGCCAAUCCCAAAAAGCCGCUCUCAGUUCGGAUUGCAGGCUGCAACUCGCCUGCAUGAAGCCGGAAUCGCUAGUAAUCGCGGAUCAGCAUGCCGCGGUCGAAUACGUUCCCGGGCCUU